AUUGAACGCUGGCGGCAUGCUUUACACAUGCAAGUCGAACGGCAGCACGGGUGCUUGCACCUGGUGGCGAGUGGCGGACGGGUGAGUAAUACAUCGGAACGUGUCCUGAAGUGGGGGAUAACGCAUCGAAAGAUGUGCUAAUACCGCAUAUUCUCUGAGGAGGAAAGUAGGGGAUCGAAAGACCUUAUGCUUUUGGAGCGGCCGAUGUCUGAUUAGCUAGUUGGUAAGGUAAUGGCUUACCAAGGCGACGAUCAGUAGUUGGUCUGAGAGGACGACCAGCCACACUGGGACUGAGACACGGCCCAGACUCCUACGGGAGGCAGCAGUAGGGAAUAUUGGACAAUGGGGGCAACCCUGAUCCAGCCAUGCCGCGUGAGUGAAGAAGGCCCUCGGGUUGUAAAGCUCUUUUGUCCGGAAAGAAAGCAAUCGGUUAAUACCCGGUUGUUCUGACGGUACCGGAAGAAUAAGCACCGGCUAACUUCGUGCCAGCAG
rnacentral:rRNA from 1 species